GAUGAACGCUGGCGGCGUGCCUAAUACAUGCAAGUCGAGCGAACAGACGAGGAGCUUGCUCCUCUGACGUUAGCGGCGGACGGGUGAGUAACACGUGGAUAACCUACCUAUAAGACUGGGAUAACUUCGGGAAACCGGAGCUAAUACCGGAUAAUAUAUUAAACCGCAUGGUUCAAUAGUGAAAGACGGUUUUGCUGUCACUUAUAGAUGGAUCCGCGCCGCAUUAGCUAGUUGGUAAGGUAACGGCUUACCAAGGCGACGAUGCGUAGCCGACCUGAGAGGGUGAUCGGCCACACUGGAACUGAGACACGGUCCAGACUCCUACGGGAGGCAGCAGUAGGGAAUCUUCCGCAAUGGGCGAAAGCCUGACGGAGCAACGCCGCGUGAGUGAUGAAGGUCUUCGGAUCGUAAAACUCUGUUAUUAGGGAAGAACAAAUGUGUAAGUAACUAUGCACGUCUUGACGGUACCUAAUCAGAAAGCCACGGCUAACUACGUG
rnacentral:rRNA from 1 species